rnacentral:lncRNA from 1 species
GUGUGUGUGUACAUCAAAAUACCAUUAAUUGAGCAGAAAAUGUACUCUAAUCUAACCUUUUUGACUAGAAUGUGACUGGGGUUUGUGUUGUCCAAAAUUACUCAGAGCAAAUAACUUUGAGAGUGUUACAGAGUAUUUUCUGUGUGUGGCACUAUAAAUUCUGUCGCUGCCUUUCAACUUUGAUUGGUUUGAAGCUAAAACCAAAAGCCUCUGAUUCAAACAUGAAGCACAGACCCCUACAACCUCCUCUUUUGGAUGCAUGUUGCACCAUGUUUUGUCGUUCAUUUUACUAUAUGUUCAGAAGCAGCUGUGGAGGGAAGAGAAAUAUAAUCAGAAGAGAAGAAAAUGUGCCUGCAGUGUGUGUCAGAGAGAGUUAUGAUCAGUCUCUC